GGCAACAGUGAGAGCUGAGCGCUGAACAUCUCUACCUGCUUCCACCAGAUUGGCUUGAUUAAGUUCACCUGUUCACCUGCUCAGAGCACAUGCUCAAAACGUUUGAGCUUCAGUCAGUCACCCCUUUUUUUUUUGACAUGCUGCUAAGAGGAAGGAAGGCAGCUCUUGUGUGGACUCAGAAGACGUAACUGGUGGGGCGACGUGGCUUGGUUGGUCGAGCGGCCAUGCCAGCAACUUGAAGGUUCCAGGUUCACACAAUGAUUCAGUCCGUCAUUUACCAUGUUUCUAACUCACCUUCAACGUGGAGAAGAAACAACGAAAUGCACACGACACAGCCUCUAAGCCAAGAAGGUCCACCCAGCCAUCGAAAAAAGAAAAUACCUUUGCACAGAACGGAAAUCCUUCACCACCAACGAGCCACGAAAGGCCAUACCACAAGAGUAAGAGGAAGGGGAUAAAGGGACCUUCAUGCUUUGUUACAAGCACCUUGUUUUGCUACAUUUCUGAAUAAACACAGGCACCUUUGUAAAUAUUUCAUGUUUCAAUGUGUACACCUGGAGUUUAAAGACUUG